ACGAACACAGGAAGACCACAGGAAAGACCGUGUAGAAAGAACCUCCUUCCCCAUCCUCCAUCAAAGCCCUGUGUCCCCCAGAGAGGUGUCACAAACAAACACGUGCUGAACAAAAGAGGGCGCAGGAAGGGCUGGUGUUGGAAGGGGCCCCAGGAGCACGAGCAGCAGGUGCUAAUGGGGCAGGCUUCUUCGACACAAGGAGGUGGAGGUGGCCGUGUCCAGGAGGACCUGCUGACCGCCAGGUACUGUUGGUUCACAAACCGAAGCACGCAGGUGGAUACCCACAGACCCCAGGCCCUGUGCUGGGCAGUUUCACAGUUACUCAGUCACUGCCACUGCUCUCCGAGAAUUCUGAGGUGUGUACCAAUACCUUGGGGUUCAAGCUCUUACUACUCAGAUCAUGCAUUCUAUCG